rnacentral:lncRNA from 1 species
UUUCUAUCAAUUCAAUCCUUCUCUUUCUAAAUUCUAGCCAUUGUUUUGCAGAACGAAUUCUCCCCAAAAUCUUGUUUUCUCUGAAAAAAAAAAAAAAAGAAAGGGCGUCCUUCUACCAUUAUUCGCUUUUGCCUUUAGCCUAAUUCGUAUUUUCUUGUCAUCAAUAGUGGAGAAGAAAAUUCUAGAAGUUGCAACAAUUAGUUUGGGUAUGUUCUUCUUAUAAUUUUUCUUUUUUGUGCAUUUCUUUUUUUAUUUUCUUACUGUUUAUUUAAGGUACGUAGUUUUCCUUUGUUUGUAGAUGAAAAUCUAGCUGGGUUCGUCUUCCUUUAGCUCCAUAUAAGGUAUGUUCUCGUUUCUGUAGAUGCAUGAAAAUAUAUCUACGUUUACAUAUUCGUAGUUCAUGAGGUUGAAGGUCAUGAAUUUUCGCUGUUUCGAAGCUGGUGAGGAAUCAACUAUCAUCAUUCAUAGCCAACUUCGACAAUUUAAAAUCACUAUUUCACUCCAUUUUUCAUUCACUGUAGAAGAAAAUGAAAUUGCACUGGACGAAAAAAAAUGUUAAUAGAGGGUGAAAAUUAUAUAGAUGUGUACAUACACAUUUACAUACAUACAUGUUUACGUGUGUGAGGAGAGGGGAUUACUUUUCUUCGUAUAGAAUAUAUUUUAUUUAAUUAGUAUAUAAUAAUAAAAUAGUAUCUGCCUUUACUAUAAGAGAGGAGAUUGUCCAAGUUAUUGUUUAUGUUUGGCAAAAUUUCAC